rnacentral:lncRNA from 1 species
UCUCGUCGUUUCGCAAGAAUGGAUAUCGUUACGAGUACAUGUACAGAAUAGAUGAGUAUAUGAAAUUGACUUACACUCGCCACAAGCUACAGCAGAGUCACAUCAAUACAACAACAUAAUCAGUUAUCAUUAAGAAGAGCAGGGUUCGACUAUGGAUGAAAACAAACUAUAAAAGAACGACGUUCAUCCUUGCUAUCCCAAGCUGCCGGUCUGGAACCCAUCCUAGAUGGAUGAAGAAGAAUAAACUCCAAAUAGCACGCAAUCAGCGCGCUCACAUCAAAGUAACUCCUUACAUGUACCUGCAACUGAUGUUGUAGUAAUCUGUAAGCCACAUGGGACUCAGCAAACUCAUUUCCAAAGGUAUCAAGAUUAGCAAUGCUCAAUGAAUGAGGUAUGGUUAAGUGGUGAGGCUGCAUCAUGCAACUAAGCAUUUAUUUGAGGUGGCUAACUUACGAGUAUAAGAAUAAAAGAGAGGGAUGUUCUACGCAUAGCGGACGUGAACUACUGAUGAUCAAAUGAAUGAUCUUGAACACCUACUUACGACACGCAUAACCCCACCGUGUCCUCGGUCGGAAAAGGAGCUCACGAAAGAGACAUCCACGGUUACACACACAAUUGACAUAUUUUAAUUAAUAUUAAUUUGAGUUUUCUAGCACCGAAUGUUAAACAAAGUUUCCACGUUGCCACAUAACCGCGGACACGACUUUCCAAAAGAUCUAACCUUCGAGAGUGCUCCAACUAGUCCAUCACAAAUUACCACAAGCCGCAUAGAAAACCUCAAACACGAAACUCGUGAUCUCCUCGGAUUCCUUAAUGGAAAAUCUAAACUUUGAGAUAGCCCAAAGCAUCAUUGGAAUCCUGAUGCACGAGAUAUUUCAUCAAAGGUAAAACUAAUCCAGCAAGGCCACCCGACGUGUCGACGAACCUGAUAGAAGUCGCGUAUCUCGUUUUUAGGACACGACGGAUGGGUCACACUAGGAGUAAACCAAACCUCGGGUUGUCCCGCGGUGGCCCGUAGUCUGCCAAUUUGGACCAACACUCAUGCAAAGCACUGGCCCGGGGUUGAUUAAAUUUCCCCGGAAUAAUUACUCCCUAUGUGGUUCAUUAGUUAUUAGGCAAAUGUAGUAUCAAAGUUAGGCCCCAUAACAACCUCGAUCGUGUUAGGAGCUCUCAAUUAUGAAAAACAACAGCGAUGGCCGAAACUAAGGGCGACAAAGAUGGAACAAAACACCUGACUAGAAAGCCAAGCAUUCCACCUUUUACCAAGUAAAUAAAUGCAUUAAUUUAAAUAGCAUUAAUAUGAUGAUAUAACAAGGAACUCAUGUUUUCACAUGAAAACAACUGCACCUGCAACUAGCAAUAUUGUUAAAUGGUUAAGCCAACAAUAACAUAGCGAAUCAGUGGUUUGCUAAGUUAUAGAAAGGUUGAAGAUUUCAUGUCAAUGUUGAGAGGUUGACAUUUAAGUGGUAGGCAGCGAUACAUAUCGAAAAAAACGGGACAACUAGCAUGACAACGAUAAUAAUGGUAUAUAGAAAAAUGAUCAUCUUGCCAGAGAUCACGCUUGAAAGAAUAACGACUCUGUGAAGCUGACUAACCAACGUAGUCGAACGGAUCCUCAUAUUCCGACACGCUUGCGAAACUCUAUCGAGACGAAGCAAAACAGAAACAAGAAUCAACACACGAUAUUCACCACGGCACAUGCACGACAUGAUGCUCAAUACAUAUGAUGCAUGAUCAAUUUCAAUUAUGCAAGGCAUGGCACGUCAAUUCACCACAAUCAAAUACUACACAUUAAGUGAAUCUCAUUAUGCAACAAGUUACAUAUUGACGAAACUUGACAAUUUAAUAAUUUAGUUCACUCUCGUUUAUUUCCAAGGCAAAAUUAAAUUUUGUUAAACAUGACAAGAGGUGAAGAAUGUGAUUCUACAUGACAUACUAGCCGGUUAAUACCUAAGAACAUUGAACGGAGCUACGGUUAAAAGAUACGUGCAACACAGUAUAUUAUGCCAUGAAUAAACAACAUGCAAAAUAUUGAUGUGGCAGGCAAGCGAACCCAGAACAUUGUGUGUGUGCAAAAGGAAAAAUAAACAUGGCAAAAUUGGUGAGAUGGGUGAGAGGAUAAACUAUAGACACAUCUGAACCUACAACAAACAAGGGCACCGAAGACAAAAAUAAAAAUAAAGGCCAAAAGGGUUGUGUCUACCAGACCCCUCUGUUUACACACAGCAACGAUAACCAGCUCAGCUAGCAGUGGAACGUUUAACAAGAUGCAUAUCGGCUAGACAUGUACACACGCUAGUGCAGAACUGUCGCGGGAAACAUAAAUAACACAAAAUAAACAUGGCAAAAUUGGUGAGAUGCAAUAGGGUGAGAGGAUAAACUAUAGACACAUCUGAACCUACAACAAACAAGGCACCGAAGACAAAAAUAAAAAUAUAGGCCAAAAGAGCUGUGUCUACCCAUACCCCUGUGUUUACACACAACAACGAUGACCAGCUCAGCUAGCAGUGGGACGUUUAACAAGAUGUAUAUCGGCUCGACAUGUACACACACUAGUGCAGAAAAUAAAAAUAGGGAAGCCUGGGAUUUGAACCCAGAUGAACCCCAGAUCCAUAGUUUAGAAGAUAAGCGCGCUACCAACUCGGCCACUCACAUGCUCGUGCUAAAACAUACUGGCGAUCCUAGAAAAAUAGCAGCACGCCAGAAUAGAUCUACAACAAACAAGGUUCAGAUACGGAGGUUAUUCACAGCGGGGGGAAACAGAGGGCGCUCGCGUGCAGGUCUCGCUACGGGAUGCAACGCUGGGGGCAAAUGGACCUGGGCGACGUCAUUGCGCGUCCGCGCGCUGGCUGCGGACUUGUGCGUCCGUGCGCUCGCUGCGAGAACGCUGAAGGAGGCGAGUCAACACGUACACGGCAGCGGUAAUAGUUGAAGCACGCGAGGCGAGGGCAUGCUGGGCAUGGGGACGACCCGAGGACGACAGAUCUAGAAGUGGGGACGCUAGAUCUGGUGGAGAGGAAUCCAUUCCCGAUGGCGGCGUGCUCCUGCUUACCCAAAUGACGGAGCACCGAUGGCGGCAACACCGGCAGUGUCAUGGCUUACUGCAAACACAGGAAAAGAGAGAACUGAGAGAGGGGGGGUCAAUAGGAGAGGAAACGAGAGGAGGGAAAUGGGCGUAGGGGCCUGCUACUCGUGGGCUUGGUCGUCGGCGGCAGCCGGAAGUGGCUGCGGGAUCAGGCACGGCCGCAAGCUCGGCUCGGAACUGCGGGAGCUCACGGACGAGAGUAAGGCUGGGGCCUGGGUUGCCUGCAGUCACUGGACUUGUCCGCAGAGCUGGGGCCUGGGCUCUGUGAUGGAUCGAGCGGAAUCAGAAGGAGCGACGCUCGUUGGAUGGAUGUUGGAUCGGCGAGACACGGGAAAUCCCGAGGUUGGAGGAGAUUGGACGGGAGUGGCGGCGCGGCGCUGAUGGGACAAGGAGAGAAUUUUUAAG